rnacentral:rRNA from 1 species
AAGUCGUAACAAGGUUUCCCGUAGGUGAACCUUGCGGAAGGAUCAUUGUCGAAAAUUUGCCAAGCAGAGCGAACCCGCGGACAUGUUGAAACAAAUCGUCGGGGGCACGGCGUCUAACGCGGCACCGGUGCCCUCGACCGCCGGCCGAGCCCGCACCUUACGGCCCGCUCCAGGAGCGGCAACGGGGGUGCGGGGCAAGGCUUGGCACAAGAAUGAACCCCGGCGCGGAUCGCGCCAAGGAACGGUAACAUAGCGUGCGCUGCCUUGCCGCCGGAUGCCCGGCGAGCGAGGUGGCGACCUGUCGUAUCUGAACGACUCUCGGCAACGGAUAUCUCGGCUCUCGCAUCGAUGAAGAACGUAGCGAAAUGCGAUACUUGGUGUGAAUUGCAGAAUCCCGUGAACCAUCGAGUCUUUGAACGCAAGUUGCGCCCGAAGCCUCUAGGCUGAGGGCACGUCUGCCUGGGCGUCACGCAUAGCGUCGCCCGCGACCAAGCCACCGCGUCUCUGCAUGCUAGGUUGGGGCGGAGAGUGGCCUUCCGUGCGCCGUUGUGCGGCUGGCCUAAAAUCGGAGCUCGGCGACUGCGCCACGACGUCCGGUGGUCGACAAGGCGAAGGCCAAGGUUGCAUCGCGUCGCG